rnacentral:antisense_RNA from 21 species
AUUUUUUAAUUAUUUAGAAGAUAUGAAAAUUUGAUUUAAUUCGAAGGAUUUAUUUUGAGCAGGUAAGUGAUUUUGUAAUUUUUGAAAUGGUACACCCGAGUGGACUCGAACCACCGACCCCUACCA